GUAAGAGCAAGCAGCUUUUCCUGUGCAGGUGAUGCUGGCAUGCCUAGCUCUGGAAGUGGUGAAGCCUGGAUUUAUACAGCACUCUCUGCAAGUACCACAUACACCAAUAAAAAGAGAGUUCUUCAGGAAAUGAGGUGUGACGCAGGCCAGCUUCGCCAAGACUCUUGGACCAAGAAAUAAGGAUUUAAAUAUGAAAUACUAAAAUUUAACACAUGACUGAAACAAAAUAAAUGGUGUACUACUGAAAGCAUUUGAGGU
rnacentral:lncRNA from 1 species